rnacentral:rRNA from 1 species
GCAGAACGCGAAGAACCUUACCUGGGUUUGACAUGCACAGGACGCCAGUAGAGAUAUUGGUUCCCUUGUGGCCUGUGUGCAGGUGGUGCAUGGCUGUCGUCAGCUCGUGUCGUGAGAUGUUGGGUUAAGUCCCGCAACGAGCGCAACCCUUGUCUCAUGUUGCCAGCACGUUAUGGUGGGGACUCGUGAGAGACUGCCGGGGUCAACUCGGAGGAAGGUGGGGAUGACGUCAAGUCAUCAUGCCCCUUAUGUCCAGGGCUUCACACAUGCUACAAUGGCCGGUACAAAGGGCUGCGAUGCCGUGAGGUGGAGCGAAUCCUUUCAAAGCCGGUCUCAGUUCGGAUCGGGGUCUGCAACUCGACCCCGUGAAGUCGGAGUCGCUAGUAAUCGCAGAUCAGCAACGCUGCGGUGAAUACGUUCCCGGGUCUUGUACACACCG